rnacentral:rRNA from 1 species
UACGUAGGGUGCGAGCGUUAAUCGGAAUUACUGGGCGUAAAGCGUGCGCAGGCGGUUCGUUGCGUCGGCGGUGAAAGCCCCGGGCUCAACCUGGGAAUGGCCGUUGAAACUGGCGAACUGGAGUGUGGCAGAGGGGGGUGGAAUUCCGCGUGUAGCAGUGAAAUGCGUAGAGAUGCGGAGGAACACCGAUGGCGAAGGCAGCCCCCUGGGCUGACACUGACGCUCAGGCACGAAAGCGUGGGGAGCAAACAGG